rnacentral:rRNA from 1 species
GAUGAACGCUGGCGGCGUGCCUAAUACAUGCAAGUCGAGCGAAGCAGGGACGGGUGAGUAACACGUGGAGAACCUCCUAUUAGACUGGGAUAACCUAGGGAAACGGGAGCUAUCCCGGAUACUUAUCGAUGGAUCAGCUCUACAUUAGCUAGUUGGUAAGGUAAGGGUGUACCAAGGCAGUGAUGCAUAGCCGACCUGAGAGGGGGAGAGGCAAAACUGGAACGGAGACACGGUCCAGACUCCGUCGGGAGGCAGCAGUAGGGAAUCUGCGGCAAUGGGCGAAAGCCUGACGGAGCGCCGCAGCGUGAGGGAUGAAGGUCUUCGGAGCGUAAAAGGCUGUUGUUAAGGAAGCGGGACUUAACCAGGAAGGGACGGCUAACUAAGUGCCAGCAGCCGCGGUAAUAC